rnacentral:lncRNA from 1 species
GGCAGCGGUCCCCUGUUCCCCAGACAGGAGCUGAGGAAUGGCCGUGCUAUCAGCCGGCUUUUGCACUGACUCCAACCACCCCCAAAAAUGGCCAUAGAAUCAACUUCUGGAGAUUGGCAUCUAUUCAUCAGCGCAGCUGUAGUACCCUGGAGGCCCAGGGCACUUGUGCAAGUAGCAAUUCAGAGGAACUCUGGGGGGAGAAAAAACCCUAUUGGGCUUUUUUCUUGUUUCCAAAUGACUCGGGGUCAGAAGCAAAGAGGUCUGACCCUCUUCUUUGUUGGCUCCAGCACGGCCAGACUAAACUGGGGGGGGGCUGUAAAAGCCACGUCAUGCUUCAUGAUGCUUUCCUCCUAACAGAGCUUCUAAUGGCCACUGUAAACAAAUCAGUACGUCCAGCUUUGCAUCCCAAAUAAAGGAGGCACAGUGAACUGUGAGGGUUUUGGAUGUUCAGACGAAUUAUUCCUGCCGUUGCAAUAGCGAUGUGUGGAGCAUUUGAUUAUCCCCUGCCAUCAGUGGUGCAGGCGAGGACAGAAAUAUUCAUGUUCUGCAUUUAACUGGAAAUUAAGAGAAUGCAUCAUCUGGUGACAGGAACUUCUACAAGUGACUGCUUCCCACUCAAUCAACUCCCAAACCACCACAUCACUGGGGGGAUAUUGGGAAACUUGAUUUAUGACUCAGACCUGCUGGUGGAUGUUUGCUGGAGGAAUGUAUUCCCCAAAGUUGCCCCGUUGAUGGAGGUGUGCAGGGAUUCUUCCCCUCUUGGAGGAGCACUGGGGGUUCUUACAAGGUCUGUUAAAAUAGCUGGGAAGAGUGACUCAGAAGGGAAGGCUGUCUGCUGAACUGCUGGCACUUCUCCACCUGUCUGCCUGCACUGUGCCAGGGCUGCGGGAAGCUUUGGGGUGAUGCUGAACUCAGGGGAUGUCUCUGAGCUGCAGGCGAGCGCUGGAGAAGAGGGGAAAGUAGAGAUGAGCAGGAAGGGGAGCACUCCUAUGUGACUGCUGCAGCUGCCGUGAUGGAUUUAAAACCUCAUUGGUUGCGUCCUGCUGAGCUGCUCAGCAAGUUCCAGGGUGAGAUGUGCUGUCUGCUCCGGACCCACAACACAGGUCAAUUUGUCCAUCCUGCUGGGAAAGUCCGACUCACGUUUUUCCAUACACGUCGGUGCUGUGCUCCGGCCAUGCCACCAGACACACCAGCCGGCCUGGCAGCUCCUCCGUCACCGAGUAGUAGCCCUGUGGGAAGGCCAGCAGGAAGGCCAGGAGCCAGAUGACACAUAUGACCACUUUGGUAGCAGUGGCUGAGAGCCGCGGCUGCAGCGGGUGGAUGAUGGCCAUGUACCUGCAAGAACUCAGUGGGACUGAAGAUGGCUCCAUUUGCCAGCAGCUUUGUAUAUCUACUGCAGUGAAGGACACAACUUUAGGCCAGACGCUUUCCCUUCGGUGACGUAGGUAAUGCCAUUUGCUGUUGUUUUAAAUAUUUUAUUGU